AGGAUUUUAAGUUAUAAAAACUAAAAGCCUUCAAAGCUUAAAAAAAAAGAAUUCUCUUUUAAAUCCUA
rnacentral:tRNA from 1 species